GACGAACGCUGGCGGCGUGCCUAAUACAUGCAAGUCGAGCGGACCUCUUCGGAGGUCAGCGGCGGACGGGUGAGUAACACGUGGGCAACCUGCCUGUAAGACUGGGAUAACACCGGGAAACCGGUGCUAAUACCGGAUAAUCCUUUUUCUCACAUGAGAAGAAGCUGAAAGACGGUUUCGACUGUCACUUACAGAUGGGCCCGCGGCGCAUUAGCUAGUUGGUGGGGUAACGGCCCACCAAGGCGACGAUGCGUAGCCGACCUGAGAGGGUGAUCGGCCACACUGGGACUGAGACACGGCCCAGACUCCUGCGGGAGGCAGCAGUAGGGAAGCUUCCGCAAUGGACGAAAGUCUGACGGAGCAGCGCCGCGUGAGCGAAGAAGGCCUUCGGGUCGUAAAGCUCUGUUGUCAGGGAAGAACAAGUGCCGGAGUAACUGCCGGCACCUUGACGGUACCUGACCAGAAAGCCACGGCUAACUACGUGCCAGCAGCCGCCGUAAUAC
rnacentral:rRNA from 1 species